CUUUUUUUUCUCGUCUACCCAGGAGAAAGUCAUGGGUUCUGCUGCUGAGAAUUCUGGCUUGAUGUUUGGUCCACCUGUUAGCUGGCUCUGGUGCUUGGUAGUCUUCUCAAACCUCUGAAUCAAGGCCACCAUGAGAGGCCUUCUGAAGACCAUCAUUACGCUUCAGAUCCAGUUGUCUUUACUAUGAGCCUACCACAAUCCCUGUGCACCAGCUAUGGAAAGUGCAGACCAAACUUCUACCUCCACCUAUGGGACUGAACUGGAGUUUGUGAACUAAUGCUGUGUUCGAGACAACUUGGAUGUUGGAUAUUAUUGACCUCAAACCCGUAAGAAGUCUGGAACAGCAAACAAAGUUGAGUAUCCGACCUCUCAACUUGGGACAGAUC